rnacentral:rRNA from 1 species
CUACGUGCCAGCAGCCGCGGUAAUACGGAAGGUCCGGGCGUUAUCCGGAUUUAUUGGGUUUAAAGGGAGCGUAGGCUGGAGAUUAAGUGUGUUGUGAAAUGUAGACGCUCAACGUCUGACUUGCAGCGCAUACUGGUUUCCUUGAGUACGCACAACGUUGGCGGAAUUCGUCGUGUAGCGGUGAAAUGCUUAGAUAUGACGAAGAACUCCGAUUGCGAAGGCAGCUGACGGGAGCGCAACUGACGCUGAAGCUCGAAGGUGCGGGUAUCGAACAGGAUUAGAUACCCUGGUAGUCCGCACAGUAAACGAUGGAUGCCCGCUGUUGGUACCUAGUAUCAGCGGCUAAGCGAAAGCAUUAAGCAUCCCACCUGGGGAGUACGCCGGCAACGGUGAAACUCAAAGGAAUUGACGGGGGCCCGCACAAGCGGAGGAACAUGUGGUUUAAUUCGAUGAUACGCGAGGAACCUUACCCGGGCUUGAAUUGCAGACGAACGAUUCAGAGAUGAAGAGG